AGAUCUGUGCAAGGCUUUGGGUAUUAAUGGAGUCAUGAACUAAGAGGGACGGAUCUGAGUAUGAGAAAUAGAUGUGAUGUGUUAAUUUUUAGAUAGUUUUUUUAGAGUAAUUUGAUUUCUAGGUUUGUUUGUUCUUUGCUGCCUUGUUUCCUUAUGAUUCUGCAGAGAAAGUGGUGUGAUUCUUUCAAACCCAAGACUUUCUAUGGAUUUGUUUGUUCUUCUAUUUUCUGUUUUUUCUCCCGAUUCCUCCUUAAGGUUGUUGAUUGGUACGCUUGUUUUGGUACAACAACAACAGGAGUGUUUAUGUGUGUUGAGUUCCGGGAUUCUAGUUUCCUUGUUGGCCUAUUAUGUGUGUUCAGUUUGUAGAAUUCCUCUUUGAUUUCCUUUUUAUCAGGUCUCCCUUUUCAUUUCAAUGGUACCUAAUUUAAUUUAUUUACUUCUCAUUGGUGGAUAGCCUGAUUUGUUCUUACAGAAAUCACCAAUCUUCUCUUUUGUUCUGUGUGUUGUUGGAGAUCAAUUCUGAGGAAGGUGAUGUUUCUUGUCUGAUCGGAUAGAAAUUAAAAUCGGAUGUUGGAUCGCUGACAUUGUUAUUGAGCAUGUCGAUGCCAUAUUUUUAAAACCGGAAAAUGAAGGCUCUUUUGAACCAUCAUGAUGCUGAAAUCAAUGCUGGCUAUGUUAUUCUAGUUUUUCCUUGGGUUGGUGAUUCCAAAGGCGGUGUUUUUUUCGAAGAUACAACCUCAACUUUCACCAAUUAAAUCAUGGAUUAGCAGGACCCCCUCCUGGAUAGGCCGACGUGACACUUCUAGCAGUCUUGCUAGAAGAACUCAUGAAUCUAUCUUGAUAGUUCUAUCUCGAGCAAAGGUGCUUAUUUCCAACAACUUGUUUGUGGAAUCUAACAUAUUACCAGUAUUAGAAGACAACUCUUUGGGUGCCGAUAGAGCACGAAGCAUUCCUAGAUCUCUGAAAUUCUACAAUUGCAUUGGUUGGUAUUGUAUGCUUUUGUAUUUUAUAUCUCUUAGAACUUAUCGCGUUGUACUCUUUUCCUUUGCUAAUUUUCUAGGUAAGGUUUUUAAUGAGGCAACAUAUGCGUGUCCAACAAGGCAUCAUGUAUCUUUUGAUGCCGGUCGUUCUACUGUUUUUCUUUAUUUUGUUCUCUUUGCAAUAACUUUAAGUGAUUCAGUGUAUUCAAUAAAUUUCUUUCUUACCAAAAAAAAAAAAAAAAA